rnacentral:rRNA from 1 species
ACAGGGAUUGCCCUAGUAACGGCGAGUGAAGCGGCAACAGCUCAAAUUUGAAAUCUGGCUCUCUUUGGGGGUCCGAGUUGUAAUUUGCAGAGGAUGCUUUGGCAUUGGCGGCGGUCUAAGUUCCUUGGAACAGGACAUCGCAGAGGGUGAGAAUCCCGUACGUGGGCGCCUGCCUUUGCCGUGUAAAGCUCCUUCGACGAGUCGAGUUGUUUGGGAAUGCAGCUCUAAAUGGGAGGUAAAUUUCUUCUAAAGCUAAAUACCGGCCAGAGACCGAUAGCGCACAAGUAGAGUGAUCGAAAGAUGAAAAGUACUUUGGAAAGAGAGUCAAAAAGCACGUGAAAUUGUUGAAAGGGAAGCGCUUGCAGCCAGACUUGCCCGCAGUUGCUCACCUAGGCUUUGGCCUGGGGCACUCUUCUGCGGGCAGGCCAGCAUCAGUUUGGGCGGUCGGACAAAGGCCUCUGUCAAGUAUCUCCCUUCGGGGUGACCUUAUAGGGGAGGCGUAAUGCGACCAGCCCGGACUGAGGUCCGCGCAUCUGCUAGGAUGCUGGCGUAAUGGCUGUAAGCGGCCCGUCUUGAAACACGGACCAAGGAGUCUAACAUCUAUGCGAGUGUUUGGGUGUCAAGCCCGGGCGCGCAAUGAAAGUGAACGGAGGUGGGAACCCUUUGGGUGCACCAUCGACCGAUCCUGAUGUCUUCGGAUGGAUUUGAGUAAGAGCAUAGCUGUUGGGACCCGAAAGAUGGUGAACUAUGCUUGAAUAGGGUGAAGCCAGAGGAAACUCUGGUGGAGGCUCGCAGCGG